rnacentral:rRNA from 1 species
AGUGGCUGUCGUCAGCUCGUGUCGUGAGAUGGUUAGGGUUAACGUCCCGCAACGAGCGCAACCCUUGUCUUUAAUUGCCAUCAUUUAGUUGGGCACUUUAAAGAGACUGCCGGUGUUAAGCCGGAGGAAGGUGGGAAUGACGUCAAGUCCUCAUGGCCUUUAUGCCCAGGGCUACACACGUGCUACAAUGGGCGGUACAAAGAGAAGCAACCUCGCGAGGGUGAGCAAAUCUCAAAAAGCCGUUCUCAGUUCGGAUUGAAGUCUGCAACUCGACUUCAUGAAGUCGGAAUCGCUAGUAAUCGCGGAUCAGCAUGCCGCGGUGAAUACGUUCCCGGGCCUU